GACGAACGCUGGCGGCGUGCCUAACACAUGCAAGUCGAACGGGGUUAAUUUCUUCGGAGAUUAACUUAGUGGCGAACGGGUGAGUAACGCGUGAGAAACCUGCCUUUCAGUGGGGGACAACAGUUGGAAACGACUGCUAAUACCGCAUAAUGUAUUUUGGGGGCAUCCCUUGAAUACCAAAGCUUUAUGUGCCGAAAGAUGGUCUCGCGUCUGAUUAGCUAGAUGGCGGGGUAACGGCCCACCAUGGCGACGAUACAUAGGGGGACUGAGAGGUUAACCCCCCACAUUGGUACUGAGACACGGACCAAACUCCUACGGGAGGCAGCAGUGGGGAAUAUUGCACAAUGGGGGAAACCCUGAUGCAGCGACGCCGCGUGAGCGAUGAAGUAUUUCGGUAUGUAAAGCUCUAUCAGCAGGGAAGAAAAUGACGGUACCUGACUAAGAAGCACCGGCUAAAUACGUGCCAGCAG
rnacentral:rRNA from 1 species